GAAAUAUUUGUAUUUCUUUGUUUUAAUAUUAAUAUUUAUGCAUAAUUUUUAUAAUUCCUGUGUUCCCGUUUUAAUUAAAUAUAUUAAUAUUUUGUAACUGAUGUUGUUUUUUUUUUUUUUUUAAUACGAUUUAACAGCAAAGAGAAACUGUUUCGUCCAAGUUAAAAAAGUUAAAGAAAAUUGAAAAAUAGUAAGCAAAAUGUUGAUAAGGCUUAAAAAUGUGUUUGUUCGUCCGGUUCACUCAUUUUUUUUUUUUUUUUUUAUGCUAAAAUGCAAUAAUAACCAACAAUGUUUGUGUUCACAUACAUAUACUUGCUCAUGUGUUUUAUAUACACUUAACAGCCAAAUAAGUAAUGACGAAAGAGAAAAACACAUGAAAAAAUAUAUGCUUAAGAUAGAAGAAAAAUACAAAAAAAAAAAGAAGAAGAUUAUAAAAAAGAAUUAGAUGAGAAUAAAGAGGAAAUGAAAAAAUUCAAAGAAAAAGAAAAUACGUUUAUUAAUUAUUUAAAAAAUCCGAGAUUAAAUUUGUCAAAAACGGGAGACUUAAAUCAGUAUUUGUGUAUCUCUCCGACAUUUAUUCAUUUCAAAGAUAUAACAAAAGGAACAACACCAACGAAGGAUUUAUUGAUUACUAACAAAAGUAGUACAUUGCUUCAUAUUAUUAUAGUACCCCCAUCAAGUAAAACCUUUUUUAUAAAAGAGAUAAUAAAUUUACAAAAUAAAAAUGAGGAGAAUUCCAAAUAUAAUUUAAAUAAUCAGAUAGCUCCUGGACACUCAAUAAAAAUUAAAGUGUCUUAUAACGUGCUGACAUUAAACCAACAGACGGAUAGUAUAAAAUUGUUAUCAGAAGCUGGGAAUAUAACAAUUGACAUCAAAGUAUUUCAAUCCACACCAAAAAUUAGUUUUGAAAAAAUAUUAAAUUUCGGGCCUGUCCGUUCUAAUGAACAAAAACAAAAAUCAUUUUCUAUUAAGAACGAAGGAAACGCAAUGAAAAUACUUGUUAUACCUAAGAAGCUAUUUAUUUAUUACAAUAAAAAAAAGGAGAUAGAAAAAGAAGAGAAUAUAUUAAAUUUGUUAAUAAAACGAUCAAAGGAUACAAAAGAAAUAAAAAAAGUAACUGAAGAAGGGGAUAAUUAUUAUGAAUAUGAUAACAUCAAAAGCUAUUCAUAUAAUUUCCUUUUUUUAUAUAAACAGUUGAUUACUAAUUUUCAGAAUCUAUACUUUGAAAAAGUGUUACAAGAUUGUUAUUUUUAUGAUUUAAAAAAUUCAGAAGAAAAGGCUGUCAUGUUUGCUUUUAAGUUAUAACAGAAAAAAGCACAAAAAUAGGCACGCAAAAAUCAUAACAUUUAUGUACAUUUUUUCAUGUCAAUCAUUUUUUUUAAUGGUACUUUAGUGUGAUGUCCUAUACACAUAUAUGCACUGAUACCACUAAAAACAAACGCUAUUACUUCACUUAGUUUGUUUGAUGCAUAUUUUUAAUUAACCUAUAGGAGCAACAAAAUUGGAAUUUAUGAAAAAAAGUACUUAAUUGUAACAGACAUCGCUUGUGAUUUCAAAGAUUUAGAUGAUAAUGAAAAAUCAAAAUUUUAUACCGAAAACGAACUGAACAUUUUUAACUUUUCCAUUAAAGCCAUAGUUGAGCCCUUACUGUUAAAUUUGAUAAAUAUAAAUAAAAACACAACAAGUAUAUUUGCUCUUUUUUUU
rnacentral:lncRNA from 1 species